rnacentral:rRNA from 1 species
UACGUAGGGUGCAAGCGUUCAUCGGAAUUACUGGGCGUAAAGCGUGCGCAGGCGGUAAUGUAAGACAGGUGUGAAAACCACGGGCUCAACCUGGGAACUGCAUCUGUGACUGCAUUGCUGGAGUACGGCAGAGGGGGAUGGAAUUCCGCGUGUAGCAGUGAAAUGCGUAGAUAUGCGGAGGAACACCGAUGGCGAAGGCAAUCCCCUGGGCCGGUACUGAGGCUCAGGCACGAAAGCGUGGGGAGCAAACAGG